rnacentral:rRNA from 1 species
UACGAAGGGUGCAAGCGUUACUCGGAAUUACUGGGCGUAAAGCGUGCGUAGGUGGUUCGUUAAGUCUGAUGUGAAAGCCCUGGGCUCAACCUGGGAACUGCAUUGGAUACUGGCGAUCUGGAGUGCGGUAGAGGGUGGCGGAAUUCCCGGUGUAGCAGUGAAAUGCGUAGAUAUCGGGAAGAACACCCGUGGCGAGGGCGGCUCUCUGGGACGGUACUGACGCUGAGACGCGAAAGCGUGGGGAGCGAACAGG